rnacentral:rRNA from 1 species
GACGAACGCUGGCGGCGUGCUUAACACAUGCAAGUCGAACGAAGUGGCGAACGGGUGAGUAACGCGUAAUCAACCUGCCCUUCAGAGGGGGACAACAGUUGGAAACGACUGCUAAUACCGCAUACUGAAGGGGGGGAUUGAGGCUGAUUAGCUAGUUGGAGGGGGAACGGGCCACCAAGGCGAUGAUCAGUAGCCGGUCUGAGAGGAGUAUCAGUCACAUUGGAACUGAGACACGGUCCAAACUCCUACGGGAGGCAGCAGUAGGGAAUAUUGCGCAAUGGGGGAAACCCAGACGCAGCAACGCCGCGUGGAGGAUGACACUUGUCGGAGCGUAAACUCUUUGUGUUAGGGAAGCGGUACCUAACGAAUAAGCACCGGCUAACUCCGUGCCAGCAGCCGCGGGAUAC